AGAGUUUGAUUCUGGCUCAGGACGAACGCUGGCGGCGCGCCUAACACAUGCAAGUCGAACGGAGUCAAGAGGGGCUUGCUUUUCUUGACUUAGUGGCGAACGGGUGAGUAACGCGUGAGUAACCUGCCCUGGAGUGGGGGACAACAGUUGGAAACGACUGCUAAUACCGCAUAAGCCACGAUCCGGCAUCGGAUUGAGGGAAAAGGAUUUAUUCGCUUCAGGAUGGACUCGCGUCCAAUUAGCUAGUUGGUGAGGUAACGGCCCACCAAGGCGACGAUUGGUAGCCGGACUGAGAGGUUGAACGGCCACAUUGGGACUGAGACACGGCCCAGACUCCUACGGGAGGCAGCAGUGGGGGAUAUUGCACAAUGGGGGAAACCCUGAUGCAGCGACGCCGCGUGGAGGAAGAAGGUUUUCGGAUUGUAAACUCCUGUCGUUAGGGACGAUAAUGACGGUACCUAACAAGAAAGCACCGGCUAACUACGUGCCAGCAGCCGCGGUAAAACGUAGGGUGCAAGCGUUGUCCGGAAUUACUGGGUGUAAAGGGAGCGCAGGCGGACCGGCAAGUUGGAAGUGAAAACUAUGGGCUCAACCCAUAAAUUGCUUUCAAAACUGCUGGCCUUGAGUAGUGCAGAGGUAGGUGGAAUUUCUCGGUGUAGCGGUUGGAAUGCGUAGAUAUCGGGAGGAACACCAGUGGCGAAGGCGACCUACUGGGCACCAACUGACGCUGAGGCUCGAAAGCAUGGGUAGCAAACAGGAUUAGAUACCCUGGUAGUCCAUGCCG
rnacentral:rRNA from 1 species